rnacentral:rRNA from 1 species
GACGAACGCUGGCGGCGUGCCUAAUACAUGCAAGUCGAACGAACCGCGACUAGGUGCUUGCACUUGGUCAAGGUGAGUGGCGAACGGGUGAGUAACACGUGGGUAACCUACCUCAUAGUGGGGGAUAACAGUCGGAAACGACUGCUAAUACCGCAUAGGACAUAGGAUCACAUGAUCCAGUGAGGAAAGGUGGUGCAAGCUAUCGCUAAGAGAUGGACCCGCGGUGCAUUAGCUAGUUGGUAGGGUAAAGGCCUACCAAGGCGAUGAUGCAUAGCCGACCUGAGGGGGGUGUCGGCCACAUUGGGACUGGAGACCCGGCCCAAACCCCGCGGGAGGCCACAGUAGGGAAUCUUCCGGAAUGGGCGGGAAUCCUACGGAGCAACGGCGCGGGGGGUAAGAAAGUUCUCGGCACCUAAAGGCUCUUUUUUAGGAGAGAACAGCGCAUAGAGUAACUGUUAUGCGUGUGACGGUAUCUAACCAGAAAGCCACGGCUAACUACGUG